UACGGAAGGGGCGAGCGUUGUUCGGAAUCAUUGGGCGUAAAGGGCGCGUAGGUGGUUCUGUAUGUCUACCGUGAAAGCGUACGGCUCAACCGUAUUUUGUCGGUAGAAACUGCAGGACUUGAGGCUGGGAGGGGCUGGUGGAAUUCCCUGUGUAGCGGUGAAAUGCGCAGAUAUCAGGAGGAACACCAAUGGCGAAGGCAGCUCGCUGGGACGGUACUGACGCUGAGACGCGAAAGCGUGGGGAGCGAACAGG
rnacentral:rRNA from 1 species